UAUUCUGUUUUUAAAAUACAGAAUCAAUUAUUUUUGUGGCUAGUAAUAAUACUAUUUUAUGUUAACUGACGUUUCUAGCAAAUAGUUUACUCCUUGCUAAGCUGUUGGCUACUUUAUCUCGUUAUGGGCUGCAACAAUCUGCAGUGUCUCAGCGUGAUACCGCCAUGCGUCGGGGUACAACAGUCUUUAAUUUUUCUUCAUUACAAUGUGCCAUAACGCUUAUUGAAAUUUAAAGUACAGCAUCUAAAUAGUCUUAGAUUGAAAAGGCUUACUUUUGGUCCGGUGUUCUGUCGAGAACUCCAAUUCAGAACACCGGCCCGCCAUGCUGUUGGUGAAUGCCAGCAAGUGGCGCAAUAGAGUUUUGAGUAUGUUCUUCCCUUAACAGACUUUCAGUAGUUCACCACAAAAUUAACAAGGGUUUGUACAGCUAAGAUGCAUGUUUUACGCCUCCUUAGUGUAUAUAGCUACAUCUUUAUCAGUUGCGUGUUUCCUCAUUCCAUGUCUUGUAAAAUGUAACUUCCUAACUUUUAAUAGUAGGAAUAAAUAAUCCAAAAUGGUAGGUGCCAGCAAUACAAUUCUAUCUAAUGGUUGCUGGAAUUUUAAGUCUAGCUUUUAACAUUGAUCAUGGAAAGUCAAGCAAAAUGUGUCAUGACUUUAUAGAAAAAUGUUUAAGCAUAGUUUUGAAAGUCUGUUGGAGGGAAUUAAACAAAAAAAAAAAUACUUUUCUCUUUUUUUUUUUUUAUAGUAUGGUAAUUCUACAAAGCUGUUAGAAAUCUAGAAUGUAGUGAUUGUAAAGUUUAAUGAAUGCUCAGUAUCUAAAAAAUCAUAAACAGGGGCACUUUAAUUUUAAUUCAUUCAACUUUACAAAAGAUGCUUCAUUUAAAAAAAAAAAAAAAAAUACCACUAAGUUAUGGUAAACCUACUGCCGUUCCUCCGCCCAUCAUAGAUGAUCCAUGACUAAUCUGACUUCCUCCAAUCGUUGCGUGCCCCAUCUGGAGUCCAGCUCGUGGACAGGCGAUGAUUGGUGGAAGCCGGAUUCGUCAUUGAUCUGCUAAAAGGUAGGAGAUGCGGGCUGAGGAACGGCAGUAUGUUUACCAUAAUUCAGUGGCAAAUAUCUUAAAAUGAAGCUUCUUUUGUAAAGUUUUUAAUGAAUGAAAGUGCCCCUGUUGAUUAUUUUUAGAUACUGGGCAUUAAUUCAUUAAACCUUACAAUGACUUUAAAGGCACAUUUAACACCUUGAGAUUUUUAUGUGCAAUGAAACAACUUUGCAAUAUGUUUAUCCCCAACCCCCGAUUUUCAUGUAAUAUUGGCUCUGAAAAUUUAGCAAUUUUCUUAUUCACAAGACUUGAAAUGGACCAUGCCGACUUCUGAAGGCGAUAAGUCUCUAAUUGGCUUUAAUCAAACUGCAUAUAGAUAUAGUUCAUACUAACACAGUUGUUACCCUGGUAGUCUAAAGCCUAAUUUUGCUACUCCUAAAUGCAAAUGUGAGUGGCGUUUGGGUAUAAAAAAAUGCAGAGAAAGAUGUUUGUUUUAAAAUGUUAAAGGGAUACUAAACUUAUAUUUUUUUUUCCAUUCAGAUGGAGCAUGCAACUUUCUAAUUUAACUCCUAUUAAUUGUUCUUUGUUCUUUUGGUAUCUUUAUUUAAAUAAGCAGGAACGUAAUUUUAGGAGCUGGCCCAUUUUUGGUUAAGCACUGUGGGUAGCAAUUGGUGGCUACACUUGGCUACCAAUCAACAAUCACUACCCAGGGUGCCUAAACAAGAAUGGUCUGGCUCCUAAAAUUACAUUGCAUGCUCUAUCUGAAUCAUGAAAGGGGAAGAAAAGGUUUAGUAUCCCUUUAAGACUGGCUGAUUAUGUUACAAGGCAUUUACUGUCCCUUUGUGUUGCAGUGCUUUAUUACCUCAUUCUUUAUCUAUUUAUUUAAUAAUUUUAGUUUAAUUUGGAGGGGUUGUUUUUGUUUUUAAAUGCCUGGGAAUGAUGACAUAAAAGGCCGAAUUGCAGUGCUUUUCUGAGCAGUCUAUUCUCUACAGGAAGGCAUAAUGACAAAUCCCCUUGAAGCGAAAACACAACUGACCCUGGCAUCUUGUCUUAUUUUGAGUGAUAGUGUGGGAAAUAAAUCUGCAGAAACCUCACCAACUAGUGUGGAGACUUCUUUUUAAACCAGUCGUAUAUGUGCGUUUUUGUUACUUAGGCACAGAAUUUUAAACUGUUAAUCAGCUGUUAAGCCAAAUGGUUAUCUAAAACUUGUACAUAAUUUGUUUUUCAGGUACUACACGUUGCAGUACUUAAAAGGACGUUUAGCUGUUGGAUACAAUUACAAUAGCAUGGUUAGUUAUCAAUGCUAUGUUUCCUCCUGUGCGUGUAGCUGUCUUCAAAGCAGUUCUCCCAUUUUUAACAAUUUAAAGUUAUAGUUGCUUACUCUUCAUACUGGGGCCAUCUUGGAACCUCUUUUCUUGCAGCAGUGCAUGACAUGUGACUAUCCAGCUACAGUGUAGUAACAGUCACGUUUGACUGUGUAUAUAUACAAUCACUUAUGCUUGUAUGCUCACUUGAUGCACACAAUUUUUUAUUUUCCAGCACUCCAAAUAUACACUUUAGUGUAAUUUUGUCAAGGCAAAUGUUACCAUUAAAACAGUAAUUCCAUCGCUAUAGUAUUUGGUUUGUUUGCUAUUAAUUACUUUGAAACCUAGACUUGAGGUGUUCCUAAAUCAUAACAUAAUGAAUAUAGUUUGAGAUUCUUUCUAUACUAUUUUUCUUCAUUCUUAGUUUCUUUAUUUGAAAAAGCAGGAACAUAAGCUUAGGAGCCAGCCCACCUUCUUGUUGGCUACAUUUUAGCUACCAAUCAGCAUUCGCUACCCGGGUGCUGAACUAAAGAUGGGCUGGCUCCUAAGCUUAAAUUCCUGCUUUUUCAAAUAAAGAUACCAAGAGAAUGCUGAAAAUUGAUAAUAGGAGUAAAUUAGAAAGUUGCUUAAAAAUGCUCGCUCUAUCUGAAUCAUGAGGAAAAAAUGGGUUCAGUAUCCCUUUAAGAGGUUAAACAUUGUAGGCCAGUUUUGAAGAGAGCUGCAGCAAAGGAGGAAAAAUAGCAUGUUGUCUAGUGACCAUGCUGUUAUAGUUGUGAUUAGCAGUUUAAUGUCUCUUUAAACAGAUCUAAAUUGUUACAAUUUUGGAGCGGCAAUUCUCAAGAGGAGUAAGCGUCUGCAGGACUUGCUUUGACUUGUGCAGUGGACCAAAAUAUAUUCUCCAAUGGGCCUUGUUUCUUGGUAUAAGACUGGCUGUCCAACUAUUUCAUUUGUUUCAAACUGGUUUUAUGUGAAUUUAAGUUGUUUGUUUUUUUGUUUUGUUUUUUUAUAAAUAAAAUUCUAUUAAUCUACUGAA